AUUUAACAAAGGAAAGACCACAAAGGAGCUCAAUAAAUAUUUGUUGAGCAGGGAAGCACACGAGCCACUUUCCACGAUGCACACUCAGAAACGCUCCUGAGGGAGAAGCACUUUGAGUCCGAGCCCUGCAGGUGUGCUCGCAAAGCCCUUGACCCAGAGUGGCAAACAGGAGCCCCCGAGGUCGGAAAUUUUUCUGGUGCAGUGAUUUCUGGAGGAGAGCAAAAGGAGCGUGCACAGAGGAGACUGCUGAGCUGUGGGAAGACCUGUUGAAAGGGCGGUGGAUUGUACUAUCUUUUGCACCUAUUUAUGUGCUCCUUCCCUUUGAGAGUGACAUAUAUUCUCACUCCACUGACUUUGGACUUGACAGUGUGACAUGAUUCGGCCUAUGGAAUGUGAAUAGCUGUGAUGACGUCCUCCAGGUCUCCGCAGAAGCUUUGAAAUGUAUUGACAGAGUCUCCACCAUCACACUUGCUUUUCCUGCUGUCAUAGGAAUGGGCUGACCCAGACGGGGCAGCUCCUACAGCCUGGGCUCUCGAAUGAGAAGUCACAGGGCAGAGCCACAGGAUCCACUGUUGACAGCCACCCACAUGUGAUGAGUCACUUGGAACCCUCUGUGUGGCCCACAAGCACUUGCAUCACCUGCUCACUCCUUCAACCUUCUCUCCAGGCACACUCCCUCAGCCCAGCCUGCACCACCAGCCUGGCUUCUCAAUUCCUCAAAGACACAAACUCUGUCUCCUCAGCUAAUCAACAAGCUCCAUAAGGCAGGGGCUGGGCUUCUUGAUCCCCACAGUGCCUAAGACAAUGCUCAGCACGUGUAGGUGUUCAAUAAAUAUUUUUGAGUGGCUAAGUGAGCAAUCUAUAUGUUGAUGUGAAUGGAGAGAGAAAUCAUUAGGUACCUGGGAGGAGCAGGGAGGAGGUAGGCAUGGCAGCCUGAAGAGGGCAGUGAUGGGAGACAGGCUGAAGGGGAUUUGGGUCAGACUGUAAGGCCAUAAUCUGAAGCCAGGGGCUGGAAGGUCUUGCUGAGGAAGGAGCAUGGAUGAUUCAGGAGGAGGCCUUUGGCAGCCACUGGCAGGACAGAGUGAAGCCUGAGAAACCUAGAAGCUGGGAGAUGGGCUGGGAAGCUUUGGAACUAGUCUAGGGCUGGCUGAAGAGGCGCACCGACUGGUCACGGCCCGGGAACAGACAGGAGCUGCUGCCAGGGCCCCCGUUUCCGCUCAGUGUCUCCCUGCUCCUUGGUGAUGCUUCUGACAACACGUGUGAAGAGGCAGCAGCUGAAGUCCCUGCCCGCAGCACGGUUCCUGUCUGUAGGGGGGGCAGCGGCACAGCCACACCUAGUGACUGAAGUGACAGUUUCUAUCAGCAGGAGACGUUUCUCAGGCUCUCCUCUAAGUGGAACAGCUCUCAUGCUUCUGCAGAGCAUCUCUGCUCCGCCCUGGUUUCUGGAACGCGGGGCUUGCCCCGGAGUGGGUACCGGAUCACCAUUACGUUGCAUUUGUAUGACGCCAGUGCUUGGAAAGGGAGUCAACAGCUCUGACUCAGACCGAGCCAUGAGCAAGCCUGGCCCUGCGGCUUCCAAGCAGUGGGCUCUUGGGCUGUUCCUGCACUUCUCUGAGCUUUCCUUCACACAUCUGAAAACGUGGAGAUAAGGCUCGUGAAGUCCUUAGUGACAAAGUUCAGUAAAGGCUAGCUAGUUGUUAAAAUUCAUGAAAAAGUUGUCACAUACACGAUCACAUUUCACCCUCACAACAAAGCUGAGGCACCGGC
ensembl:lncRNA